rnacentral:rRNA from 1 species
GAUGAACGCUGGCGGCGUGCCUAAUACAUGCAAGUCGAGCGAACGGACGAGAAGCUUGCUUCUCUGAUGUUAGCGGCGGACGGGUGAGUAACACGUGGAUAACCUACCUAUAAGACUGGGAUAACUUCGGGAAACCGGAGCUAAUACCGGAUAAUAUUUUGAACCGCAUGGUUCAAAAGUGAAAGACGGUCUUGCUGUCACUUAUAGAUGGAUCCGCGCUGCAUUAGCUAGUUGGUAAGGUAACGGCUUACCAAGGCAACGAUGCAUAGCCGACCUGAGAGGGUGAUCGGCCACACUGGAACUGAGACACGGUCCAGACUCCUACGGGAGGCAGCAGUAGGGAAUCUUCCGCAAUGGGCGAAAGCCUGACGGAGCAACGCCGCGUGAGUGAUGAAGGUCUUCGGAUCGUAAAACUCUGUUAUUAGGGAAGAACAUAUGUGUAAGUAACUGUGCACAUCUUGACGGUACCUAAUCAGAAAGCCACGGCUAACUACGUGCCAGCAGCCGCGGUAAUACGUAGGUGGCAAGCGUUAUCCGGAAUUAUUGGGCGUAAAGCGCGCGUAGGCGGUUUUUUAAGUCUGAUGUGAAAGCCCACGGCUCAACCGUGGAGGGUCAUUGGAAACUGGAAAACUUGAGUGCAGAAGAGGAAAGUGGAAUUCCAUGUGUAGCGGUGAAAUGCGCAGAGAUAUGGAGGAACACCAGUGGCGAAGGCGACUUUCUGGUCUGUAACUGACGCUGAUGUGCGAAAGCGUGGGGAUCAAACAGGAUUAGAUACCCUGGUAGUCCACGCCGUAAACGAUGAGUGCUAAGUGUUAGGGGGUUUCCGCCCCUUAGUGCUGCAGCUAACGCAUUAAGCACUCCGCCUGGGGAGUACGACCGCAAGGUCGAAACUCAAAGGAAUUGACGGGGACCCGCACAAGCGGUGGAGCAUGUGGUUUAAUUCGAGGCAACGCGAAGAACCUUACCAAAUCUUGACAUCCUUUGACAACUCUAGAGAUAGAGCCUUCCCCUUCGGGGGACAAAGUGACAGGUGGUGCAUGGUUGUCGUCAGCUCGUGUCGUGAGAUGUUGGGUUAAGUCCCGCAACGAGCGCAACCCUUAAGCUUAGUUGCCAUCAUUAAGUUGGGCACUCUAAGUUGACUGCCGGUGACAAACCGGAGGAAGGUGGGGAUGACGUCAAAUCAUCAUGCCCCUUAUGAUUUGGGCUACACACGUGCUACAAUGGACAAUACAAAGGGCAGCGAAACCGCGAGGUCAAGCAAAUCCCAUAAAGUUGUUCUCAGUUCGGAUUGUAGUCUGCAACUCGACUACAUGAAGCUGGAAUCGCUAGUAAUCGUAGAUCAGCAUGCUACGGUGAAUACGUUCCCGGGUCU